UGGUGUCACCAUACCUCCCUGAACACACCUGAUUUCAGCUAAUUUCAGAAGCUAAGUAGAGUUGGCCCUUGGCUGUGAUGAGUGGAGUCUUGACCUACGAAUGGCCCCAC
rnacentral:rRNA from 1 species